GUAAGAUGUCGGGAGUUACAUUGUUGGGAAAAUUUUUGUAACUGAGUAAGAGUUAGUUGAAACCAAGCAAGAGUUAGAAAUGAAGAUGUUAAGAAGUUUCUUGUAACCAAAAAGAAGUUCAAAAUUACUAUGUUGGGGAGUUUAUCGUAAUCAGGUAAGAAUUACAAAUUACGAUGAAGGUGACUUAGUUGUAAACGAGUAAGAGCUAGAAAUUACGAUUUUGGGAAAUUUGUCGUAACCAGGUAAGCAUUAGAAAUUAUAAUGUCAGGGAGUUUGUUGUAACUGAGUAAGAGUUAGUUCAAACCGAGCAAGAGUUAGAAAUGAAGAUUUU